rnacentral:rRNA from 1 species
GAUGAACGCUGGCGGCGUGCCUAAUACAUGCAAGUCGAGCGAACGGACGAGAAGCUUGCUUCUCUGAUGUUAGCGGCGGACGGGUGAGUAACACGUGGAUAACCUACCUAUAAGACUGGGAUAACUUCGGGAAACCGUAGCUAAUACCGGAUAAUAUUUUGAACCGCAUGGUUCAAAAGUGAAAGACGGUCUUGCUGUCACUUAUAGAUGGAUCUGCGCUGCAUUAGCUAGUUGGUAAGGUAACGGCUUACCAAGGCAACGAUGCAUAGCCGACCUGAGAGAGUGAUCGGCCACACUGGAACUGGGACACGGUCCAGACUCCUACGGGAGGCAGCAGUAGGGAAUCUUCCGCAAUGGGCGAAAGCCUGACGGAGCAACGCCGCGUGAGUGAUGAAGGUCUUCGGAUCGUAAAACUCUGUUAUUAUGGAAGAACAUAUGUGUAAGUAACUGUGCACAUCUUGACGGUACCUAAUCAGAAAGCCACGGCUAACUACGUG